rnacentral:rRNA from 1 species
GACGAACGCUGGCGGCGUGCUUAACACAUGCAAGUCGAACGGAAAGGCCCUGCUUUUGUGGGGUGCUCGAGUGGCGAACGGGUGAGUAACACGUGAGUAACCUGCCCUUGACUUUGGGAUAACUUCAGGAAACUGGGGCUAAUACCGGAUAGGAGCUCCUGCUGCAUGGUGGGGGUUGGAAAGUUUCGGCGGUUGGGGAUGGACUCGCGGCUUAUCAGCUUGUUGGUGGGGUAGUGGCUUACCAAGGCUUUGACGGGUAGCCGGCCUGAGAGGGUGACCGGCCACAUUGGGACUGAGGUCCGGCCCAGACUCCUCCGGGAGGCAGCAGUGGGGAAUAUUGCACAAUGGGCGGAAGCCUGAUGCAGCAACGCCGCGUGCGGGAUGACGGCCUUCGGGUUGUAAACCGCUUUCGCCUGUGACGAAGCGUGAGUGACGGUAAUGGGUAAAGAAGCACCGGCUAACUACGUG